rnacentral:misc_RNA from 1 species
CUGAGUGAGGGCCUUCGGGCUCGACCUCCAACCCUUUGUGAACACAACUUGUUGCUUCGGGGGCGACCCUGCCGUUUCGACGGCGAGCGCCCCCGGAGGCCUUCAAACACUGCAUCUUUGCGUCGGAGUUUAAGUAAAAUUAAACA